rnacentral:rRNA from 1 species
AUUGAACGCUGGCGGCAUGCCUUACACAUGCAAGUCGAACGGUAACAGGUCUUCGGAUGCUGACGAGUGGCGAACGGGUGAGUAAUACAUCGGAACGUGCCCGAGAGUGGGGGAUAACGAGGCGAAAGCUUUGCUAAUACCGCAUACGAUCUCAGGAUGACAGCAGGGGACCGCAAGGCCUUGCGCUCACGGAGCGGCCGAUGGCAGAUUAGGUCGUUGGUGGGAUAAAAGCUUACCAAGCCGACGAUCUGUAGCUGGUCUGAGAGGACGACCAGCCACACUGGGACUGGGACACGGCCCAGACUCCUACGGGAGGCAGCAGUGGGGAAUUUUGGACAAUGGGCGCAAGCCUGAUCCAGCCAUGCCGCGUGCAGGAUGAAGGCCUUCGGGUUGUAAACUGCUUUUGUACGGAACGAAAAGACUCUGGUUAAUACCUGGGGUCCAUGACGGUACCGUAAGAAUAAGCACCGGCUAACUACGUGCCAGCAGCCGCCGUAAAAC